rnacentral:lncRNA from 1 species
UAAAACAUUAAAACAAAGAUAGAAAACACCUAGAAACGCUCCACAAUCCAAGCUCCUUGAAUGGCAUGCACGGCUCCAAGUUGUCUUCCUUCUUCUCCUUGCAAACUCACGGCACACAAGGUAUGUUUGGGUGAAUGGUGUAGUGAAAAUAUGGUAGAGGAUGGGUUACUAAAUGGUGCAGCAAAGGGUGGUAUUUAUAGGCUGAAAUUCGCAGCCCCUAUGUAGCAAAGGAAAAGGAUUUAAAAGCCUAAUUUGUAUAGGAUAAUAACACACAAUCCUUGAAGGAAAAGGCUAAGGCUUUUAGAAACCAAGGGGGAAAGGAAUAAUCAGGUUUCUAGGAGUCCUAGAAAGGUUUGGGGCGUCACUUUUGUAGGAAAGGAUUAGGGCUUCUAGAAAUCCCAUUUUAAGCAUCCUAAUCUAGUUAGAAACCCUCCUAAGUGGCUGGAAUGUGGAUAAUUUAGGAUUAGGAUAAGAUAAGAUAGGAUAAGGUUUGUUUGGAUAAGAUAAGCUAAGAUAAGGUUAUGGAUGAGGUUUUGGAUAAGAUCCUUCUCUUGAGUUGAUUCUUUGGCUUUAAUUCUUCUUCUUCAUGUAGGAAUACUUGCUUGAGUAGGAAACUUCAUUCGUCUAGGAAUCCAUCGUUUAAGCCCUUUCCUACUUCAACUAGGAAACUUUGUAUAUUCAAUUCUUCAACUUUGAAACACCUUCCUAGCUUCAUCAAUUCCUCAAAUUCGUCCAUCCCUUGUGCUUCAUGUGCAUGAACUCCAUUCUAGCCCAAUUUUGCUCCAAAAUGCUCCAAAUUGCAUCCUUUUGCUCACUUUGUCUCUAAAACCUGAAAACACAUGAAAAUAGCUUAAAAGACUAAUUUAACCAAGAAAACACAACAUAAAUGCAUAAGAACUAACUAACUAAGGCGCAUAAAUAUGCUCCUAUCACCAUACCCUUGUUCUUAGAACGUAGUUAAGCAUGACUCAAGAUGAAUUCCUUUGAUCGUGGUAUUGCAGAAACAUAAGUGUGGGGGAAGGAACUUUUGUGUGCCAAAAGAAAUAGAAGGGCACGGGUUAGAAAAAAAAAAGAAAAAGAAAAUUUCGUGCAAAAUAGAAAAGCGAAAAAAGAAAAGUUGUGAAAAGUAUGAAAAGGAGUUGGAAGAGCAUAAAAAUGAGCUCUAAGUUGUUGGUUGUUGAAGAAAGGGUCCAAAAAGUUGCAUUUGACCCUAAGUAUGCAUGCAUAUUCCCCUUGUGUUUAAAGAUGUUUUCUGCACUCUAAAGUGAAUUCUAAGUGUCAAUUUCAUUGCUUUGCUUACUAUUGUUUAAGAACGUUUGUUUAUCCUUUCCCCUUCUUUGUUAUCCAAUACCCCAAGCCCCGUUACAACCCUUGACUUUAAUCUUGAGUGUUGUGUGUUUCAAUUUGUGGAGUUUAAAAUUGGUAUGAGCAUAUGGUGUCACUGGUUCUCGCAUCUAAGUAGUAGCAUUCCAUUCAUGAGAUCAUAUUGAUAAACAUGUGUAUUAACUCCGAAAAGUGCUUUCUUUGUUAUACAUAUAUGUGAGCGUUCGUUUUCAUAUUUACAUCAAUCUUCUCACAUAUAACUAGUAUAGGGUGUGUAGUCAGAAAAUCUGUGUGAAAAUUGAGUGCAUAUCUAGUAAGGAAUUGAGGAAAUUCUCUAAGGCAUGUUACUACAUUCAAAACAUCGUUUUAAUUGGUUGUUUGUGAACUAAUGAGUAGUGACUAUGAUUAAGUAUGUGCUUAAGUGUAAAGAUGGCUAAAAUCUGUGGGAAUGAUGAUUUUUAACAUGUCAUGUGCAUUGGAAAUCCCUGAGGCGAUUGUUGGAAGGUUUAGGUUGUGUUUACUCGUUUUGCUUCGAUUGUUUACUUUGUUUCGUUUUGUUUUGCUCGAGGACUAGCAAAAGCUAAGUGUGGGGGAAUUUGAUAGGAGCAUAUUUAUGCGCCUUAGUUAGCUUGUUCUUGUGUAUUUACGUUGUUUUUCCUUAGUUAAAGUAGUCUUUUAAGCUAGUUUUAUGUGUUUUCAGGUUUUAUGGGCAAAGUAUGCAAAAUGGUGCAUUUUGGAGCCUUUUGGAGCAAAUUAAAGCUUGGAAUGGACAUCAUAUGCUUAGAGCCAAGAGGAUGGACGAAAUUGAAGAUUUGAAGAUGAUGUUCCUACUUGAACAAGGUUUCCUAGUUGAAGUAGGAAAGUCCCUAAUUGAAGAUGGAAUCCUAGUUGAAUUAGGAUUCCUAGUUGAAAUAGGUUUCCUAGUGAAAUUGGGAUUCCUAGAAGAUAAAGUUCCCUGCUCAAACAAGGUUUCCUACUUGAAGUAGGAAAGUUAAAUCCAAAUGGCAUCAAGUUUCAGCAACAAAGAAGUUUUCCAAGUCCAAGAAGGAAAAGGUUUCCAAGAUGAAGAAGGAGAAUAAUUCCAAGUCAAGGGAGGAUUGAGACAUGUUUUCCUAAUGCGAGAAGGACUCCUAAGUGUUGUAGGACACAAAUGAGAAGUUUCUAGAGAGUUCCCCUCCUUGCCGUGAGUUUCCUACAUUUCCUAUCAGUUUUGGGGCUUUCUAGAAGCCCUAUCCCUAAUCCCUACAUUAAUGCCGCACCCUAGCUUCUAGAUACCCUAGUUUCUUGCCUUGCAAGGCAUUCUAGAAGGCCUAUCCAUAUCCUAUAAUUCCUGCCGCACCCUUAUUCCCUUAUCCCUUAGGAUUUCUGAUUUUUAAGCCUAAUUCCUUGUGGAUUUGGGUUAUUCAAGUCCAUAUCUGAUUCCCCUAGGGUUUUAAGUGCCUAUAUAUACUCAUAUCAACCCCUAGAUCAGAUUACCACCUCUCACAUUCAUAAAUCACGCCAGAAAUCUGCCCUAGCCUUUGCCGCAGCCUUCCACCACCAUUCUCCCAAAUUUCUGCCUAAAAACAACCCAAGCCGCACCACCCAUCAACCCUAAAGCCUUCCCUACCAUUCCCCAUCCAUUCUACACCACAAAUAACCCCAAAAAACCUGUCUAAAGUUCUCUGCCGCAGCAAGGAGGAAGGAGGAUUCUUGGAUGCACUUGCUGCCACGUUGGAGCAUUCUAGGUGUUUUCUUUCCUUUGAUUUUAAUGUCUAAAUUUAUGUAUCUUUGCUUUGCGAGUAUGAGGAACUAAACCCCCCUUGGCUAGGGGGGGAUUCGAAAUACAUGUUUAUGCUUGCGAUAUGAUUUGAUUACUUCUAAUUGCGUUUCAUAAGUUGUGAAUUCAAUUUACUUAUCUAUGUGAAUUACAUUGAUUUGUGUGUGUUGGCUGAGAGUGCACACUUAAUUAUCAUGCAUAAAUUGAAUGCUAGGAUAUAAGGAAAUUUCACCUAAUCGUUAUGGACUUAUAUUCACAA